rnacentral:rRNA from 1 species
AUGACUUCUCGUAGUGAGGUGUUGUCUAUUUAUAAGCGUUUUGCUGCCAUGGUUCAUACUCAGUUCUCUUCAUCCAUUCGUGUUUUUCGUGCUGACUCUGCUGGCGAGUAUAUCUCUAAGAUGUUGCGUGGUGUUCUUGCUGAGGAAGGCACUCUCUCUCAAUUCUCUUGUCCUGGUGCUCAUGCUCAGAAUGGUGUGGCUGAGCGAAAGCAUCGUCAUCUUCUUGAGACGGCUCGUGCAUUGCUGAUUGCUACCUCUCUCCCGCCUCAUUUUUGGGCUGAGGCCGUCUCCACCUCCACCUAUCUUAUCAAUCUCCAGCCUUCCGCUGCUCUACAGGGUGGUGUUCCUUUCGAGCGUCUUUUUGAUCGUUCUCCUGAUUAUUCGAUGCUUCGCUUGUUUGGUUGUGUUUGCUAUGUUCUUCUUGCUCCUCGCGAACGCACCAAACUGACCGCUCAGUCUGUUGAGUGUGUCUUCUUAGGCUACAGUGAUGAGCAUAAGGGCUAUCGUUGUUGGGAUCCUAUCGGUCGUCGGAUGCGUAUCUCUCGAGACGUGACUUUUGAUGAGUCUCGUCCCUUCUACCCACGCCCAUCUUCCUCGACCUUUUCAGUGGAGGAUAUCUCUUUCCUCACUUUUCCUGACUCACCUAUCACCCCCGUCAAGCCUGUGCCUAUUUGUUCCGCUCCCUCUGCUUCCCUACCUCUAGUCGAUUUGCUGCCACCAUCUUCCACGGUCUCCUCGUCUAGCAUGUCACCGGAUUCUACACCUUCAUCUCCGGUGACUUCUUCGUCGCCACCCCUUGAUUCUACCUUGGCGAUUCCUCCUUCUAUUGUUCCAUCUUUUCCUCAGUAUUACACUCGUCGUUCACGUCCUGUGGAUGCCUCCGUGGAUGUGUCGUCAUCUUCCUCUCAGCCUACUUAUGGCUUGCGUUCUCGUCCUCGUCCGCCUGUUGAUCGCUUUGGAUUUCCCACCGCUGGUGCUGCUGUUCUUGAGCCGACUUCUUAUCGUCAAGCUGUUGUUCAUCCUGAAUGGCAGUUUGCGAUGGCAGAGGAGAUUGCUGCUCUUGAACGCACUGGUACCUGGGAUCUUGUUUCCCUUCCUCCCGGAGUCCGUCCCAUCACUUGUAAGUGGGUCUACGAGGUUAAGACUCACUCCGAUGGUUCUCUUGAGCGUCACAAAGCUCGUCUUGUGGCUCGUGGUUUUCAGCAGGAGCAUGGUCGUGAUUAUGACGAGACUUUUGAUCCUGUGGCCCAUAUGACCACUGUUCGUACACUUCUUGCCGUUGCCUCUGCACGCCACUGGUCUAUAUCUCAGCUUGAUGUUAAGAAUGCUUUUCUUAAUGGUGAGCUGCGUGAGGAGGUGUACAUGCAGCCACCACCUGGGUAUUCUGUUCCUGAUGGCAUGGUCUGUCGUCUUCGUCGCUCUCUCUAUGGCCUUAAGCAAGUCCCCCGUGCCUGGUUUGAGCGUUUUGCCUCUGUGGUCACUGCUGCUGGUUUUUCAGCAAGUGCUCAUGAUCCAGCAUUGUUUAUUCACCUUUCUCCUCGUGGUCGGACUCUUCUUCUUCUCUAUGUUGAUGACAUGGUCAUCACUGGGGAUGACCCCGAGUAUAUUGCCUUUGUAAAGGCCCGUCUUAGUGAGCAGUUUCUUAUGUCUGAUCUUGGCCCUCUUCGCUACUUUCUUGGGAUUGAAGUCUCUUCUACCUCUGAUGGCUUUUUUAUAUCCCAGGAAAAGUAUAUCCAGGAUCUUCUUGCUCGUGCUGCUCUUACUGACGAAUGCAUUGUUGAGACUCCUAUGGAGCUCAAUGUUCACCUCCGUGCUACUGAUGGUGAUCCCCUCCCUGACCCGACGCGUUAUCGUCAUCUUGUUGGCAGUCUUGUCUAUCUAGCUGUCACUCGUCCGGAUAUCUCUUAUCCGGUUCAUAUUCUGAGUUAG